rnacentral:rRNA from 1 species
GGAGGAAAAGAAACCAACAGGGAUUGCCCCAGUAACGGCGAGUGAAGCGGCAACAGCUCAAAUUUGAAAUCUGGUCCCUAGGGCCCGAGUUGUAAUUUGUAGAGGAUGCUUUUGGUGAGGUGCCGCCCGAGUUCCCUGGAACGGGACGCCACAGAGGGUGAGAGCCCCGUCUGGCUGGCCGCCGAGCCUCUGUAAAGCUCCUUCGACGAGUCGAGUAGUUUGGGAAUGCUGCUCAAAAUGGGAGGUAUAUGUCUUCUAAAGCUAAAUAUUGGCCAGAGACCGAUAGCGCACAAGUAGAGUGAUCGAAAGAUGAAAAGCACCUUGAAAAGAGGGUUAAAUAGUACGUGAAAUUGUUGAAAGGGAAGCGCUUGUGACCAGACUUGGGCGCGGCGGAUCAUCCGGGGUUCUCUCCGGUGCACUUCGCCGCGUCUAGGCCAGCAUCAGUUCGUCGCGGGGGAAAAAGGCUUCGGGAACGUGGCUCCUCCGGGAGUGUUAUAGCCCGUUGCAUAAUACCCUGCGGUGGACUGAGGACCGCGCAUCUGCAAGGAUGCUGGCGUAAUGGUCACCAGCGACCCGUCUUG